rnacentral:rRNA from 1 species
AGUGAACGCUGGCGGCAGGCCUAACACAUGCAAGUCGAACGGCAGCACAGUAAGAGCUUGCUCUUACGGGUGGCGAGUGGCGGACGGGUGAGGAGUACAUCGGAAUCUACUUUUUCGUGGGGGAUCACGUAGGGAAACUUACGCUAAUACCGCAUACGACCCACGGGUGAAAGCAGGGGAUCUUCGGACCUUGCGCGGUUGAAUGAGCCGAUGUCGGAUUAGCUCGUUGGGGGGGUGAAGGCCCACCCAGGCGACGAUCCGUAGCUGGUCUGAGAGGAUGAUGAGCCACACUAGAACUGAGACACGGUCCAGACUACUACGGGAGGGAGCAGUGGGGAAUAUUGGACAAUAGGCGGAAGCCUGGUCCAACCAUGCCGCGUGGGUGGAGAAGGCGUUCGGGUUGGAAAGCCCUUUUGUUGGGAAAGAAAAGCAGCAGGUUAAUACGCCGCUGGUCUGACGGUACCCGAAGAAGAAGCACCGGCUAACUACGUG